UAUGUAACUGACACGUGACAGUUAUUUUGUAAUUUUAAAUAGUAACUAUAUGCGUAUUACAGUAACUAUGUGUUUUAAAGAGUUACUAUGUGUUUUGAAUAGUUUUAAUGCGAUUUGUGUCUAGCCCACUUUAUAUACGUUUUAAACUUUUUUAUUUUUCAAAAUUUCAGAUCUACAUUCUGUUCAUUCUCUUUCAUUUUCUCUCUCUUCAUUUUCUCUCUAUGCUUUUCAAAAUUUAGCCCAAAUUUCUAGGUUUUGUUCUAUUUUUUUCGUAAUUAUCUUAUAAUUCUUAUGAUUCGAUCUAUUUGAUGAGGAAAAAUUGGAGGAAGUAGUAGAUCAAGAAGGAGGUUCGUCGUUGCCAAAAUCGAAUCGAAGAAUUUGCGCUCGCCUACAAAUCUUCGCAAGAAUUUUUAGAGAUCACAUCUAGAAAUACAAAGAUGAUGCACCCAGAAUUGAAAUCGUGCAAAGAAUAAAUUCUGCAAGGAAAACAAAAGCAGGAGGAGAAGAAGAAAAUCCCGACAACAAUGGAAACCAAGAACGUGGUAGAGGAAGGACAUGAUGUGUUGGUGGAAAAAAGAGACGUGGUCCACGUGGACGUGUCGAUUAGUAUUUUUUAGUUCAAAAAACAUUUGAUUUUAACAUGGUUUAUUUAAUAGAUGCAAAGAAUUAGAAUGUCGUAGCUAAAACAACUAACCAAGUAGUUAAUGUUUUCUUUAUUAUUGUUCAAGAGUUAUAAUUACUGUUACUUUUGAUAUAGUUACUCUUUUAUAUUUCAGUAAUUAUGUGAUAUAUAAUAGAAAAAAUUAUUAUAUGA